rnacentral:rRNA from 1 species
CAGUCGCCGCGGGAAUACGUAGGUGGCAAGCGUCGUCCGGAAUUAUUGGGCGUAAAGGGCUCGCAGGCGGUUUCUUAAGUCUGAUGUGAAAGCCCCCGGCUCAACCGGGGAGGGUCAUUGGAAACUGGGAAACUUGAGUGCAGAAGAGGAGAGUGGAAUUCCACGUGUAGCGGUGAAAUGCGUAGAGAUGUGGAGGAACACCAGUGGCGAAGGCGACUCUCUGGUCUGUAACUGACGCUGAGGAGCGAAAGCGUGGGGAGCGAACAGGAUUAGAGACCCCCGUAGUCCCUGUCUCUUAUAC